rnacentral:rRNA from 1 species
CCUACGGGAGGCAGCAGUAGGGAAUCUUUCACAAUGGGCGAAAGCCUGAUGGAGCAACGCCGCGUGCAGGAUGAAGGCCUUCGGGUUGUAAACUGCUUUUAUAAGCGAGAAAUAUGAUGGUAACUUAUGAAUAAGGAUCGGCUAACUACGUGCCAGCAGCCGCGGUCAUACGUAGGAUCCGAGCAUUAUCCGGAGUGACUGGGUGUAAAGAGUUGCGUAGGUGGCAUAAUAAGUAGCUAGUGAAAUCUGGUGGCUCAACCAUUCAGACUAUUAGCGAAACUGUUAAGCUCGAGACCGUUAGGGGUAACUGGAAUGUCUAGUGUAGGAGUGAAAUCCGUAGAUAUUAGAAGGAACACCAAUAGCGUAGGCAGGUUGCUGGGACGGUUCUGACUCUAAGGCACGAAAGCGUAGGGAGCAAACGGGAUUAGAUACCCUAGUAGUC